AUUUCAUCUUCCCAGCAGCCCUGUGAGGAAGGAGGCACUAGCACAGCAUUUUACAGAGGAAACAAAAUCAGAGAGGAUAGGAAACCUGUCCAAAGUCAUAUGGCUGAUAAGAGGCAGAGUGAAGACUGGACCUGAGCAAGUUUGGUGUAGAAGCCUGUGCUCUUAACUGCCAUCCUAGAUUCUUUCUUAAGACUUCUUCUGAGACCUAAGCUUCAUGUUCUGCCUGUGUGAUUCUGUCUUCACGAUUCUCAUGUUCAAUUACCAAUACUCAAUUCUGUCUUCUACUAAGUAUGUACAGCUCUAAAAGACACACCUCAGUAUGGGCAAUGUUCUCUUAAACUGUGAUAUCCAAAGCAACUUGUCUUUGCUAAAUGAGUACACUUAGCUUGUUUGGAAGAAACUGUCAUUUUACUCUCUAAAGCUUACUUCAUAGGAAAUGGGAAACCAUUUUUCUCUUCCGUGAAUUUGAAGCUUUCAUGUUAUUGUAUAUCCUCAAUUAAAGAAAAUGGGCAAAAUUAUA
rnacentral:lncRNA from 1 species